CUGGAUAAGGUAUUAUAAAAGAUUUCAAGUUGAGCUGCGUUUUCGUAGAAGCUCUAAACAACUUCCGAUUAUCAAUUGUUUUAAAAAAAAAAGUAUAAAUUCCAGUAAUUCGGUAUAUUCUACUUUCUAAUGGGUGCCCUUAUGUAUACAAAGCAAUAUCCCGGACCACGCAUAUAUCAAAUGCAGACAAAGAACGAAAAAUCCAAUUAAAUUGAGAUUUAAAAUGGGAAUCUUGAAAAAAACCACAAAAAAAAAUGCAAAAUUUCAGAAAAUAAUAUCGACCCAUAUCAAAAUCAUAAAUCAUAGUUCGAGAAAAAUCGAGAUUGACUAACGAUAUUUUCCCAUUGUCGUGGAUCAACAUCCAUUUUCCAAUGUCCCUUCUAAUAAUCAGCAAGAAAUCUAUACUCCUCUAUUCACUUGUAUCCAAAAGUCAACAUAAAUUGGGAUUAAUGUUAUAUCAAGAAUAGUUGCGUGCACAUUCUUAUGGAUGAUUGAUUUUUGUACGUGUUGGCGUGUGUUG
rnacentral:lncRNA from 1 species